rnacentral:rRNA from 1 species
UACGUAGGGGGCAAGCGUUGUCCGGAAUCAUUGGGCGUAAAGCGCGUGUAGGCGGCCCGGUAAGUCCGCUGUGAAAGUCGGGGGCUCAACCCUCGAAUGCCGGUGGAUACUGUCGGGCUAGAGUGCGGAAGAGGCGAGUGGAAUUCCUGGUGUAGCGGUGAAAUUCGCAGAUAUCAGGAGGAACACCAAUUGCGAAGGCAGCUCGCUGGGACGUGACUGACGCUAAGGCGCGAAAGCGUGGGGAGCAAACAGG